CCCCUAGACGUUCUGGGCUGCACGCGCGCUACAAUAAUACGCACAGCGAGUAUCACCGAGCUCGAAAGGGCAAGGUAAACAAUAGAAAAGGUACUGUAAUGGUUAUAGAUCCUUGUAAUUAUUGAUCUUCAACGAGGAAUUCCUAGUAGGUAUGUGUCAUCAUCACGCACUGAUUACGUCCCUGCCCUUUGUACACACCGCCCGUCGCUCCUACCGAUUGGGUGAGCCGAUGAAACUCUCGGAUGUAGGCUAUUCAUAGCCCGCAGAAGAGAUUUGAAUCGUAGCGCUUAGAGGAAGGAGAAGUCGUAACA
rnacentral:rRNA from 1 species